AUGCAGCUGACGAGUCCCAAAUAGGACAAAACGCCCGUCUGGGAU
rnacentral:hammerhead_ribozyme from 1 species